AACAUUUCAAGCUACAGAUAUGACUAAAUUUUAUUCAUACUUAUCAAAAAAAUAAAAUAUCCUCAGUUGUGAAUUUUUCCAAUAAGAAAAAAUACUUUAUUUGAGUGUACAUUUAUAAGUGAACUUUUUUUCUGCACAGUUCAAAUUUAUACGAAAAGAACUAGAUUGACUGAUGGUUAUCAGGCAGUGCAGCUCAAAUCUGUAACCAGAAAUACUUUGAAAUAAAUUGAAAACUGUUUAUUUUUAGCUUAAGUAAGUAAGUUAGUCAUUGAUUCAACAUGCUAGAAUUAUUUGCAACAAGUUGCUUUCAAAUGUUGCAUUUGGCCAAAUUCAAUUUAUGUUUGAGACCACUCCUCUUCAAUAACAUUUACAGAAAUUUUUACAGAAGAAUUUACAGAAAUUUACAGAAAAUUAAAUGGAUACUGUCUUAGAAGAAAAGUUUCAUUAUAUUUAUACAAACCUUCUGAAAGGCACGCCUUCUGUAUUCUCCAUCCCCUGUGAAAAAAAAAAAAAAAAAAGAAUCAAGGUAUUAUCUGAAAUUUAAAGAAACAUGUGUACUGAUUAUGAGUAAAAAAAAGGCUUAACUCUCUCUAUAAAAAUUUAAUGGCCAUGGUUUUGAAUUUCAAUGACAAGAGCAAUUGGUGACAUAUAAAAUUCAAAACUGCAGAAACAACAGUAAAUACUGAAAAUGCUACGGUUUUUUGUUUAAAGGUGCUGCUGCUGUAGAGAAAUAGUUGUCAAUAGGAUUUGUUAAUUUAUAUAAAAGAGGAAACGAAAGUUAUAAUUUUUUGGAGACUAACUGAAGAAUAAAUUAUUAAUAUUACUGUGACUUAAUAACCAAUUACAAACAUUUUAAAUUUAGGGUUGGGAGAGUAAGAGAAACAAAGAAGCCCCAUAUAGUGAAAAACCAGAUAAUAGCCGUUUUCUGUGUUAGAAAUGUACACCUUACAUUAUGUAAAAUUCUUAUAAACUGAAACAUAAUUUUGAUAGGGAAUUCUAACCUCUUUUUGCAACUCAACUCUUGCUGAGAUCCGAUGACAUCAUCUCAAACUAUGAACUCUCGCUAGAGAUCACGAGAACUCGGGACUGAGAAGUCGCCGCUGCGUCGUGCGAACAUUUAAACCUUUUCAUUAUGUAAAUAUUCAGUAACCGUUUGCUUCUUCAUUAAAUAUCUUUGUGUUACAAAAGUUUAUCAUUUAUGGAUUAUCCCUUUCAAGAUUUUGCAGGUAUUCACAGAGAAGAAAUCAUCCAGUGGCCCUGGCCGAACCCAUUGGAACAAGAUCAGAAUCCUGAGUCAAAAUGAUUUUGUGUUAAAACAACAUGUGAUGAGCCACAGCAAGAUGGAAAGUCAGUCGCCAACAGAUCCUAGCAUCCAACAUUUCAGUGAGCUAAGAGGUAAUUACCUAACCUGGUUCCAAGAGGUAGGAAGCAUUUAUAGGCAUAUUGGUCAAUGUCUUUCACAAGUUUCCACUUCAAAGAAUGACCCUCAUUUUCUAAAAAUAAUGGUGCCUCUGAACAGAAGACAAAAUGCCACCCAGCUGCAAAGCAAGCUUCCACUGGCUAUUACAAGAAGCUUACACAAAGAAUUUACAAAGGUCUUUCCAUGUGUGGGCUAGUCGUAUGCAUUUCUGUCUUCAGAGCAGUUUAAAGCUUGAAGAAACUGCUCUUAAAAAGUAUGAUAUUUGACUAACGCACAGCCAAGCUUUCUUCAACAAGAAAUCCAGAUUUGGCCCACAGACGUCUAAUCAAUGACUUCUGAUCUGGACAGAAUGCAACACUCGAGAAAUUCUUGAAAUAUUGGUAAUUUCUUGUACUGCUGCCACUGGCAAUUCCUCCCUUUUUUACACAUCAAAAUGGCCAAGUUCAUUCAAGUUCAUACAUGAGGAGGAAAUAACAGACCAUAUGGAAUGGUGCUCAGAACUGAAUCCACUGGAACAUGACGGGGAUACAUUGUUGAUAGACUUUUAACUUUAGCUAUUGCACAUUCAGUAGGGAAACCUGGGGAAAAUCUCCCAUAACCUCAUCUAUCAAGUAACAAAUUUAGUUUCCCACAGACUCAAGAUAUCUACAGUCUUUAUUAAAAUUCUGACAAAAUUCUUUAAUGCAUCUCUGUUUUUUUCUCUGAAAGACAUGUGUAAAAAUGAAUUUUUUAUAAUAAAUGCGUUUCCAAUAAAU
rnacentral:lncRNA from 1 species